GACGCAACGCGAAGAACCUUACCUGGGCUUGAACUGCUAGGGACCGGUACAGAGAUGUGCCUUUUCGCAAGAACCGUAGCAGAGGUGCUGCAUGGCUGUCGUCAGCUCGUGUCGUGAGAUGUUGGGUUAAGUCCCGCAACGAGCGCAACCCUUACCUGUAGUUGCCAGCGAGUCAAGUCGGGAACUCUACAGGGACUGCCCGGGUUAACCGGGAGGAAGGUGGGGAUGAUGUCAAGUCCUCAUGGCCCUUAUGUCCAGGGCUACACACGUGCUACAAUGGGCGAUACAAACCGUUGCCAAGUCGCGAGAUGGAGCUAAUCGGAGAAAGUCGUCCUCAGUUCGGAUUGCAGGCUGCAACUCGCCUGCAUGAAGGUGGAAUCGCUAGUAAUCGUGUAUCAGAACGAUACGGUGAAUACGUUCCCGGGCCUUGUACACACCGCCCGUCACAUCACGAAAGCCGGGAGCACUUGAAGAGGCUGCGGCAACCCGCAAGGGGGCUAGGUCUCUAUGGUGAACUUGGUGAUUGGGGUGAAGUCGUAACAAGGUAACCGUA
rnacentral:rRNA from 1 species